AGAUGAUGCUUAAAAAAUCAAUUUUGAGUGAUUUCUUAUUUUUUCAAAAUCACUUUCAUUAGGUUGCCAAACACCAUAUUUCAGCAGAAAAAUGAUUGACUCGAGAAAAAGUGAUUUUGGCUACUACCAAACACACUCUAAUUCUAACCAACGAAGAGAUGGCUGAAGAAGAAUUUGAAUGAGAAGAAAAAGAAUUGCAUACGAAGAGAGCAAAUCGUGGAACGAGGUUACCGGGUUCUCAGAAAACAUCGAUAGGUCAAGUGGGUGGUGGAAGGGGCGGGGCCUCUAGUGUAGCUUCAAGUACUACAAUUUGUUGUCAAAGCAUGUCCAAUUGAUGCUGAGCCACAUCGGGAGACAAACCUUGUACGUGUGGUCGUGACUGCACGGAGGAUUUACCCACCUCAAAAGUCAAGUGGGCUUAAGGGUUAACCCCAAGGUAGACAUUGAGAUUUAUGGCUAAACCAAAAGUUGGCAGCUAGAUAGGACCUAACAACAGCGUGUGUAGUAGUGCGUGGACUAACUAGGCAAUACCAGAAGCAGGUGCGUAUAAAGAGUGCACCAGUACGGUGGUGCUACGUGAGGAUUUGUCUGGACGGGAGCUGAUGGCACUCUUGAUGGAGGAAUCGGAGCUUUCGGCACGUGCAAGCCUUGCACGACUAACGAAAUGGAAUUGUUGGAGUGCAGCUGAGUGAGGCUGGCUAGUGAGUUCUGUAGCUGCCGAAACCAUUCGUCCAUGCGACAGCUAAUUCGGGCUUCAAUGGCAAUGGCAACAGUGGCACUGAUGUUGUCGGCUGUCUCUUCUACUAGGAUUCUUGUAAUGCCCUGAGUUUAGGAGGGGGACACAAAUAAACUGAUAUCACGUCUGAAUGAAAGAGAUCCUGAGAACAUGAAAAUUCUGGUGGGGCCAAAACUCAAGAAAAAUCCACAACUUCUGUGGAACAAUGCAGUGAAAGCAGUGUUGGCAGAUUUAUAGUUUAAAAGUGAUGUAGCAAGAAUAGGGCAUUAUGGUCAAAUCCUCGAUCUAUUAGGAUUAGGAUUAGCUUCUUUCGUUUAUUAGGAUUAAGAUUAGUUUCUUUUAUCAUUUAGGAUUAGGAAUAACUUUCUUUUAUUAAUUAGGAAUAAGAUUGGGAUUAGUUUGUUUUCGCUAUAAAUACAGUAUUUGUCUUCUUGUAUUCACAACUUUUCAUAUUCAACAAAAUUCUCUAGAUUGGUAUAGACCAAAAGAAACUAAAGAGUUUUCCAUGACAAGGAAAUUCCUUGGUUCUCCAAGCUUUAGACCACUCGAUCGAGUGCAUCCAUGUGGAGCUCUCUUUCCAAGGGUUUUGCAGAAUACUCCAGCCAACUUCCUCUCCCCGGAGCACUAGUAUUGUUGAUCAAGUAACUGCAAUUUCUUACUAUGAGUCAAGGCUGGUUACAUUGUACUCAGAAGGCAGUAGCAUCAGUCUUUUAGUAUUUUAUUUUGACAUGUUUGGUUUUCAAAUUAAGGUUGUAUUAUGUUUUUAGUGUCUAUUAGGAUUAUGAACUUAAAAAAAAACAAGAAGAAUAGACUUAUAAUAGCCGGGCUGUAUUGAAUUGUAUUGUUUUGUUUAAUUUAAGUCGUGUUUGUUUUAGUUCUUCUUGGAGAUGAUGAUGGUGUUAAGGGAGUAAGGGGUGCCUACCUAGUUGAGAUACCCGAGUGCACCUGCUAAUUCUAAGUCUUCCCAUGUUUAGUAUCUCUUGUACUUCGAGCAAUAGUCUCAUUUCCUUAUCUUAAUGAAGAUGCUUGUUUCUUGUUCA